GCGGCAGGCCUAACACAUGCAAGUCGAGCGGUAGAGAGGUGCUUGCACCUCUUGAGAGCGGCGGACGGGUGAGUAAUGCCUAGGAAUCUGCCUGGUAGUGGGGGAUAACGCUCGGAAACGGACGCUAAUACCGCAUACGUCCUACGGGAGAAAGCAGGGGACCUUCGGGCCUUGCGCUAUCAGAUGAGCCUAGGUCGGAUUAGCUAGUUGGUGAGGUAAUGGCUCACCAAGGCGACGAUCCGUAACUGGUCUGAGAGGAUGAUCAGUCACACUGGAACUGAGACACGGUCCAGACUCCUACGGGAGGCAGCAGUGGGGAAUAUUGGACAAUGGGCGAAAGCCUGAUCCAGCCAUGCCGCGUGUGUGAAGAAGGUCUUCGGAUUGUAAAGCACUUUAAGUUGGGAGGAAGGGCAUUAACCUAAUACGUUAGUGUUUUGACGUUACCGACAGAAUAAGCACCGGCUAACUCUGUGCCAGCAGCCGCGGUAAUACAGAGGGUGCAAGCGUUAAUCGGAAUUACUGGGCGUAAAGCGCGCGUAGGUGGUUCGUUAAGUUGGAUGUGAAAUCCCCGGGCUCAACCUGGGAACUGCAUUCAAAACUGUCGAGCUAGAGUAUGGUAGAGGGUGGUGGAAUUUCCUGUGUAGCGGUGAAAUGCGUAGAUAUAGGAAGGAACACCAGUGGCGAAGGCGACCACCUGGACUGAUACUGACACUGAGGUGCGAAAGCGUGGGGAGCAAACAGGAUUAGAUACCCUGGUAGUCCACGCCGUAAACGAUGUCAACUAGCCGUUGGGAGCCUUGAGCUCUUAGUGGCGCAGCUAACGCAUUAAGUUGACCGCCUGGGGAGUACGGCCGCAAGGUUAAAACUCAAAUGAAUUGACGGGGGCCCGCACAAGCGGUGGAGCAUGUGGUUUAAUUCGAAGCAACGCGAAGACCCUUACAGGCCUUGACAUCCAAUGAACUUUUCAGAGAUGGAUUGGUGCCUUCGGGAACAUUGAGACACGUGCUGCAUGGCUGUCGUCAGCUCGCGUCGUGAGAAUGUUGGGCUAAAUCCCUGUACCAGCGCCACCCCUUGUCCUUAGUU
rnacentral:rRNA from 1 species